rnacentral:rRNA from 1 species
AGCUCCAAUAGCGUAUAUUAAAGUUGCUGCAGUUAAAAAGCUCGUAGUCGAAUUUCUGGUCUGUCAAGCCCGAACUGUUUCUUUCGAGAUUCAUGUGUCGAUCCGCUUGCGGACCAUCUUUCUGAAAAAUGCUUCUACCCUUGAUUGGGUCGGUUGCAGGAUUCAGAUCAUUUACUGUGAGCAAAUGGGAGUGUUCAAAGCAAGCUUUUGCUUGAACCGUUUAGCAUGGAAUAAUAAAAUUGAACUUCGGUUCUUUUUGUUGGCUAAGAACCCAAGUUAUGAUCAAUAGGGAUAGUUGGGGGUGCUCAUAUUCAGGGGGUAGCGGUGAAAUGUGAUGAUCCUCUGAAGAUGAACUAAUGCGAAAGCAUUCACCAAGGAUAUCUUCUUUGAUCAAGAACGA